UGAGGAAUAUUGGUCAAUGGACGGAAGUCUGAACCAGCCAUGCCGCGUGCAGGAUGAAGCAUCUAAGGUGUGUAAACUGCUUUUGUACGGGAAGAAAAAGAGCUACGUGUAGCUUACUGACGGUACCGUAAGAAUAAGGAUCGGCUAACUCCGUGCCAGCAGCCGCGGUAAUACGGAGGACCCAAGCGUUAUCCGGAAUCAUUGGGUUUAAAGGGUCCGUAGGCGGCUUAAUAAGUCAGCGGUGAAAGUUUUUGGCUUAACCAAAAAAUUGCCAUUGACACUGUUAGGCUUGAAUUUUUGUGAAGUAACUAGAAUAUGUAGUGUAGCGGUGAAAUGCUUAGAUAUUACAUGGAAUACCAAUUGCGAAGGCAGGUUACUAACAAACGAUUGACGCUGAUGGACGAAAGCGUGGGUAGCGAACA
rnacentral:rRNA from 1 species